rnacentral:rRNA from 1 species
UACGUAGGGUGCAAGCGUUAAUCGGAAUUACUGGGCGUAAAGCGUGCGCAGGCGGUUUUUGUAAGUCUGUCGUGAAAUCCCCCGGGCUUAACCUGGGAAUUGCGAUGGAGACUGCAAGGCUAGAAUCUGGCAGAGGGGGGUAGAAUUCCACGUGUGAGCAGUGAAAUGCGUAGAGAUGUGGAGGAACACCGAUGGCGAAGGCAGCCCCCUGGGUCAAGAUUGACGCUCAUGCACGAAAGGCGUGGGGAGCAAACAGG